AUCCUUUUAUUUCAGUGCUGUUCUAGUGAUCCAGCUCUAGUUGUUCCUCUGGUGUCUCUGUGGUCUGUGUUGCAAGCCAAAGCUCUUCUCCCCAGCCACCAAGUUAGCUCUCUCCAAUUCAUCAAGUGCCACUCCAUUAUCUGGUGACCAAAGCAGCCAUCCUUCCACCUCACCGUGGCCAAGGAUCUUCGAGAGGUGUUUCGGCCAUGUUGUGCCUGUUCUCUACUCCUCACAGGAGCUUCGGAACUAGAAUAGCUUCGAUACGGAACAAUGGAAGAGCAACGAAGGUAGCUUCGUCAUAAUAACGCAAGAAGAUGAUGCAAGGAGAAUGUGUCAUCUUAAACACUGAGAGCAAAAGAUAGUAUUGUCCUUGUAUUAUUUGUAAACCCAGUGUGUAAUCUCUAAGGGCAUAAAUAUAAUACCGUACGAAGUUGUACGACUCCCUAUAAAUAGACGAACAGUGCCCUGCAUAAAGUACCUUUUUGGAGGCCCGAAAAAUUGUUGUGUGUAAUCUUCUCUUUGCCUCACCUUCGCUCUAAACCAUUUUUCUAGAGACGAAUGUAUGUUUAUAAACUUAAUAUAUGAAGGAGGAGAAAUAUCCUAUU
rnacentral:lncRNA from 7 species